GAAUAUUGUCGUGAAUCAAAUCGGGGUUCUUCAUUAAUGUAGAAGAAGACCACAUUACCCCACAAUUAUUGAAACUGAGAGGUGAACUUUAUUCCAUAAAUGUGCAUAAAUACAUGGCAGUUUUAUGGUCCAGUCUUGCACACGUGUGAAUGUACCAUGUUGAGUAUUGCUCCUUUUCUGAAGUGGAAAUCCAAUCAGUUUGCAGAAUUGUUGCUAAGUUGUUGGGUCUCUCUUCACAGACGUUGCUUUGGUAAGGAAUCCAUUUACAGAAGACAGAACUGUUAUUUCUCACAUUUGGCUGUUAAACGUACUUUGUUAUAGAUUUCAGCUGAUUUCCGACUUGAAGCAUGAGCUGGUAUUCUGCCACCUACAUCUAUUAGAACAUAUGCUUGAAAAAUUCAGUUAAAUUGUGCAUCUGAUAAGAUAGAAUGUAAGGCGUCUGGACAGGAAGAGACCAAAGCAGUAGCCCAGGUACUGUGAAAUGUGUGGCUAGCUGGGAGACCUCUGUUGGCCCUUGCCUCUCUAGCCUGUAAGGUAAAAGACACAGAUCGAUGGUCUGUUUUAUAGCUAUAAUUCUAUGGGUGUUGUGGGAGUAAAUUUUCUUCUUCCUUGCAGUUCAGAAAGCUUAUUCUUUUUGAGUUAUUUCUUUUCAGUUACGUACGAAUAUCUCCUCCCGGCAUCUUUCAUCCAUCUCUUCCAGAUUAGCUGUCUGAAAUGUUUUUCAUUCCAUUUCUUACCAAUAAAUUUGUCCUCCUUCUUAAUGCUGGCGACAACUUCAGUAUUAUUCCUGUCAUCUUAGCGACUUGAAGCAUAAAAAUACUCAUUGGUCUUAAAGGAAAAAAAUAGUAUGUAUUAAGGCUGUGAAGCCUGACCUUGGAACACUUCCUCUUUUAUUGAAUGCCCAUUGCCAGAAUAGAAUUUGUUUCAAAAUGCAGAGAAGUAAUAUAUGUUUUAGAGUAGAAGCAUCACCAAAGAAAUAUAUAAAAUACUUUCUUAAAGUGAGCACCCAGAAAAAAUGAAAUAACUCUUUUUAAAAAUAUAUGUAUUUUGUUUUUAUAUUAUGAAUUAGAAUGAGCAACUGUUCUAGUCCGUUUGUGGAAAUGGAACUAAGGUUUCGAAAAAUGUGAAAUUUAAAGUCCUCAGUGGAGGUUGAAGAACUUAACUGAAUUUUGGUUGUCGUCAUUAUUUUGUUAUUCUAGGGAUUUUAUGAAUGUCAAAUGAUCCUUAUUUCUUGAAAACAGCUUGUUGUAAAGAACAGUUGUGUUGAUAAACAAGUAGUUUCUUUGGCAAAAACAGAGAUAUAAUUGCUACAUUUUCAGUGACUUCUUUUGAGAACGCUUUAAACUUAAAGAAUAUGAAUAUGUUCUUUUGUUAACACUAAUUGAAGGUGAAGCAAUAUUGGUUAAGAAAUUAUUUGCUAAACAUAGACAUUCUAAUAUAAUAAAUGAAGGGAGUGGUACCAGUGGAGUUGGGCUCUCAUGAGGCAGAAACUUUUUACUUCGUUGAAUAGAUUUCCAGUACCAUAUAAAGCAAGAGAAAUCAGAUCAGAUAGAAUGAAAAACCAGAUAGAUUGAUCAGACACUUUUGGCUGUGUCUAAGCUUGAUGUCAAAAAAAAAAAAAAAAACCCACAAAAAAAAAAACAAAAAAAUCACAAAAGGCCAAGUAGCUUAGAGGGAAACCACCAGAAAAGCAGACUCUGCCACUGAUUCCACAUGGAAUUGAAUGAGCGUCUUAAAACCCUCUUCAUCGGUAAAGCCAGAGGUUAUGCAUUGGAAUAUAUAUGACUUGAUUCCGACUGAAAACUCUGGAGUCAAGAAUUUUGUUUCUUUCCUAUUUCCUCUUACCCUUUGGCUUCCAGAGACUAAAAUCAAAACUGAUCUCUCUCUUUUGAAUUUCUUCUUUUCAGUUCACUUUUUUAUUUGCUCUUCUCUUCAAAAGAAUAUGUUGUUCUAUUAAAUCUGAGUCAAGUAAAUUCACAGCACGUGCUUUACCUGGCUUGUGUGACUCUGGGAAGUCUGGCUGACCUUCCUCCCUUCCUUCCUUCCUUCCUUCCUUCCUUCCUUCCUUCCUUCCUUCCUUCCUUCCUUCCUUCCUUCCUUCCUUCCUUCCUUCUUUUCUUCCCAGAUAGUCAUUACAGAAAAUCAUCAUAUAGGAUUCAUACUAAAAUUUGCAGAUUGUCUUACUACACUUAGUUGAGCGUUUGCCUAAUAACAAAACUUAACCUAAUGAAAAAAUUUUUUGGAUACUUAACUUUAAGUAUAUAGAUGAGACAUUUUUUUAUUUGGUAUUUCUGAAUCCAAAAAGUUUUGGAAGAUGAAACAAAAUUAUUUAGAAAAUUUAUCUGAAAAAUAUUCAGUAGUAAUCUAAUGGGAAUUGACAGAGGAGUGCUUAUAAUAAACAUCUCCAUGUAGAACAUUUUUGUUAAUGCAGAAGCGUCUCACUGAGAACUUUGUGUAAAAUCUACACUCUGUUUUUCCUCAAAUAGGAAAAGUUUUGAAUUUCCAAAACUCAUCUGGCCAGAUUGGGAUUUCGGGUCAGAGACUGAUGACAAAUAAGAGAGCUUUAUAAUAUACCUUAUCAUUCUUGAUUUUCCCAGAGGAUUAGUGAAUGAACAUAAAAAAAAAAACAUUCGUUUCUUCCGGUUACUGGUGCAGGAAAUGAAAUAAAACAAAUAGUAUUUUGUAGAUUGAUGCUUACAAAGAUUGAAUACGAUUUUGGAAUAAUCGGCCACAAAAAGUGAAACAGAGAAUCUUGAUUAAAGUACGAGGGAGUACAUAUUCAUAGAUAUUGAUGCAUAUCACUUGUCAUCUUUAAAAUCAGGUUUGUAAAGGCAGGCGCUGUUUAGUUCAGUUUCGCUAGAAAUGAUUGGAAGAACUUCUGAAUACAAAUAGUAGUAUGUAGACCAACAUUAUCAUAAAACACUAAUUAAACCACUGCUUUGGCAACAUUCCUUAUUUCAUGGAGUGACUUGGCUUUGAAAACAAAGUAGUAAAAGUUGUUAUUUUAAUGGCAAACACAGAUAGCUUUGACUCAGCAGAUUGGAUCUGUUUUAACUAUAGGAAAUGAAACCGAAUAGAUUUUGCAAAACAGUGCUUUUUAUAUUUCUGAUCUAUGGUCAUAGAGGACUGGUCUAAAGCGGGAUUGAAACUUGUUCGUUACAUAACAGACGGGGAUUGUCAAACUGUGAUGGGCGACUUGAUUUUUAAUGAAAGGACUAAAGAUUCAAAUUCGUCACCUCUAUACUUUUUGAGAAAUAGAUAUCUUUAUUUUUUUUAUAUAUUUAAAAAUCCUAAAUAAAGCAGUUUAAAUCCUUAAAUGAUUUCUGAUUGAUGGACUUUAACUCAAUAUUCUUACUAUAUAAAGCACAUUUUUAACAAAGAUUAUAUUGAGCUGUGGAAUGCAAUAUUUCAGUGUGGCUUUCAAGUAAACCACACAGGGACAGAAAUAAUGGUUAUUGAAUAAUUUAGAAAAUGGCUCAUCAAUUAUUGAUGCACAGCCUCACAAUUUGUUGUAUCUAAAAGGGCAAUUUGUCAAUAUCUGUAACCCGACUGUCAUGUCCUUGUUACCAUGCUCCAUAGCAUGCAAGGCUUUAUGUUAACAGUCAGCAUGAUUGCUUAUGUUUCUAACAGCUCCUAUUCCAUUCAGUUCCUGACUCAUUGGGUCUCCACCCAUACUUGUGCUGAAAUCUGUAAUACUCAUGAGUUUCUCUGUGUCCAGAAAUGCUGCACUCCUCUCAAAGCUUUCCCUGUGUGGCUGAUCUUCCUCAUGAUACAUUCCUCAGCCUCUGAACGGUAAUUUGAGGGAUGUGUUUUAUCAUGAAAAAUACUUUUGAAUUCAUUCAGAAACAGAAUCUCUGAUUUAAUCAUAUUACAUACAGAUCAUAGAAGAGUUUUUAGCAUUGAGUUCCAUCUGUCUUUUUUAUGGAGGUUGUUCUUUUAAAUCCCGUUUGGAAGUCUGUGUUUUUUUUUUCCAAGUUUAUGUGAAAGAUGAGGAGACCACAGAUGCACCUGCGGCAUGUUCAGGGAGUGGAGUGGGUUAACUAUCUGUUUUAACUAGUACAUGUGAAAUUGUAAUGUUUUUUUUGAAGGAUCUCUUGUGUAGGUUAGAAUGAGGGUUGGGAAAUUUCAUGAAGAAAAUUCUGCCUCUUUCCUCUUCUUAAUGGCUUACUGGUUCUUUUUUUUAAAAAAAAAAAGGAAAGAAGAAUUGGGAGAAAGGAAGGCUUAAAUGAUAGUGCAGGGAUAGAAAGACCGUUGCUUCAUUUGAGGUUGUUACUGGAGGAUUAACCUAUACAGAAUCCGUGCUGAUGCUGUUCAGUGUGGAGGUAAAUGGUUUGCUGAGAACUGCAUAAUUAUUUCAAACAGAUCAGUUUGUUGGCAAUGCAUUUACUGCGUGGGUCUCAUUUCCCACUACCCAAGUUGCGAAUAUUCCUGGAGCAAAUACUACCUGCCUGGGAAAUGAAUGAAUAUACAUACGUGUGUGUGAAUAUCACCGCAUUUUGAACAGAUUAAUUUUGCUUUCUCCUUUUCUCUGCAUUCUACACCCAGAGAAAAGUCCUUGCUGACUUAUAUAGAGCUAUAGUAAUAGAAUACUGCCUUUCCAUGGGUGUUGGCGCUUUCUCAGGUUAUUCAGUGAAUCUGUCGUGCUAAAAUUGAGGAUGCCAAGUCAUGGAUUUACAAUCCUAGCAUGCAUUGCACAGAAAGGGAAUGUGAGACAGCACGCUGUUGAUAUCCACCUGAAAAUUCAAACCUGACCAAACGAGAUUAACAUGCACAGAUUCAAGUGCUAGACAAAACUAUAUCCUAGGGCCUCGAUAUCAUUAGUGUCACCGUAAUGUAUUGCUGUAAUAAAAAUCCAUCAAGGACAAAAGAGUGCAUAGUGACUGAAGAGCAUUCCUAUAGACCAAUUGAUGGUUGCUUCUCCCUGUGCUAGUACUGUAAUAAGAUCCUAGUAUUCAUUUGCCUGGCUUCUGGGUAGCUACCCAAACAAAAUAUAUACUGUAAUUUACUUUAUGCCUAUUUACUUGUUCUGAAAUGUCAGUAUUCCAAGACUUUGAAGGACUAUUUGU